AAUGAACAAGGUUUCCGUAGGUGAACCUGCGGAAGGAUCAUUACCGAGUGCGGGCCCUCUGGGUCCAACCUCCCAUCCGUGUCUAUCUGUACCCUGUUGCUUCGGCGUGGCCACGGCCCGCCGGAGACUAACAUUUGAACGCUGUCUGAAGUUUGCAGUCUGAGUUUUUAGUUAAACAAUCGUUAAAACUUUCAACAACGGAUCUCUUGGUUCCGGCAUCGAUGAAGAACGCAGCGAAAUGCGAUAAUUAAUGUGAAUUGCAGAAUUCAGUGAAUCAUCGAGUCUUUGAACGCACAUUGCGCCCCCUGGUAUUCCGGGGGGCAUGCCUGUCCGAGCGUCAUUGCUGCCCUCAAGCACGGCUUGUGUGUUGGGCUUCCGUCCCUGGCAACGGGGACGGGCCCAAAAGGCAGUGGCGGCACCAUGUCUGGUCCUCGAGCGUAUGGGGCUUUGUCACCCGCUCCCGUAGGUCCAGCUGGCAGCUAGCCUCGCAACCAAUCUUUUUAACCAGGUUGACCUCGGAUCAGGUAGGGAUACCCGCUGAACUUAAGCAUAU
rnacentral:rRNA from 1 species